CGGAGGGAGCUAGCGUUGUUCGGAAUUACUGGGCGUAAAGCGCGCGUAGGCGGUUUUUAAGUCAGAGGUGAAAGCCCAGUGCUCAACACUGGAACUGCCUUUGAAACUGGAAAACUUGAAUCUUGGAGAGGUCAGUGGAAUUCCGAGUGUAGAGGUGAAAUUCGUAGAUAUUCGGAAGAACACCAGUGGCGAAGGCGACUGACUGGACAAGUAUUGACGCUGAGGUGCGAAAGCGUGGGGAGCAAACAGGAUU
rnacentral:rRNA from 1 species